GGGCCCUUAGCUCAGGUAGUAGAGCGUUCGGUUGGCAAUCGGAAGGCCCCGGGUGCAAGUCCCGGAGGGUCCA
rnacentral:tRNA from 1 species